rnacentral:snoRNA from 1 species
CUGAGCUAGUGAUGAUUAUCAAGUUAUCCCUGUCUGAACAACAUCUUUUAUGUGGAUUCUGUCUUGCUGAGGCCCAG